ensembl:lncRNA
CGGUGCAUCAUUUGAACGGUGUUAACCUGUUCCUGCAAUUUAGCCUCCAGAGAUUCCACCCUUGACUGUUUGUCAUCCAGAGCCUGUCUCACCCGACGCUGAAGAACACAUAUUUCUUUUUUCAGCUCAAUUAUUUGUUCAGUCUUGUGAUCUAUUUCUCUAUUCUGUUUUUCUAUUAUCUCUUCUUUUUUUGUUAUUUUGUGGUGAGCUUCUCCCACUUGGUGCUCAAGUCUCUCUAACUCUGCCUUGACAUCACGAUGCAUCGUACUAAUUUGUUCUUGUAUUUUCAUUUGAAGGUCUCUAUACGAUAUUUCUCUCUCCACUAACCCAUAUAGUCUUUGUGAUUCCGCUGGAAUCGCUCUGUCAGACUGUGAAUUAUUGACUAUUUCUCGUGACAUUUCUUUAAAAGCUUAAUGCAACGUGUCGAAAGAAAAAUACGUGUGCUUAAUUAUUUAACUUUAAAAUAGUCCCUUUCUGAAAGGUUUCUGGUUUGCUAAACACAACUCGCUGUUUCUGAAAAUGUUCCAAGUAAAACUGUGUUUGCAAAGGUGAAGAGGGGCUAUUUAUAGACUUUUGUGGCAGCGAAUUUGACGUCAGCGCUCUUUGAGCCUUUGAUCCUUUGUUUCAUCACAGGAUCACAUGACAGCUGUGCGUAAUUCUGCGCAUACUCAGAGAAUACCCAUUGUGACGCACGGUUUUGUUUUGAAUUUUUUUUUAAAUACCCUGAAAACAGUCCAAACAGUGUUUCCAACUUAGCGAUUUUGUCGCUAUAUUUAGGGAGUUUUCAAACCCCCCUUAGCGUCGUUUUUUUUCUUUUUCUAAAAAGCGACUUGCGACAAAUCUGGCGGCUUUUUCUGGUGUUAUUGGAGGCUUAUUUAUGACGACUUUUGACGUGAAAGCGCUUGUUGCUCUUACUCUCAACAAGCAGCGGGUGCUGCCGUGGGCACCUCGCUCGUGCCAAAGCGCUCACAGGCGGAGGAUAGUCCUCCUCCAGCCGCUGUCAGGGCAGGAGAUGUUCACGUGCGUCCAAACUGCAAAUGAAUCGCGCACGAGCAAAGCCGCCGCUCCCGCACUGACUGUAACGCAGUCAAUUCUUCUUUUACUGUUAUGCUGUUUUGUGGAUCACAAGGUUUAAAACUACUUGUAAACACACACACAUACAGUAACUCCACCCUAACCUGCAGCUGCAGCGCAAAUAACAACGAAAAUUGUUUGUAAACGUGUCCAGGAGUUUACAGGUGCAGACAGUGCAACAGCUUCCAGGUCAUUUAUUCUGCCAAUAUGGCAAGAAGGUCAUAACUGCUUCAAGCACUGUCUAUAUCAGGGGUAGGCAACGCCAGGCUUCGAGGGCCGGUGUCCUGCAGGCUUUAGAUCUCACCCUGGGUCAACACACCUGAAUCAAAUGAUUAGUUCAUUACCAGCCCCCUGGAGAACUUCAAGACAUGUUGAGGAGGUAAUUUAGCCAUUUGAAUCAGCUGUGUUGGUUCAAGGACACAUCUAAAACCUGCAGGACUCUGAGACAGGAGAGUCAAGCUC